rnacentral:rRNA from 1 species
UACGUAGGGACCAAGCGUUUGUUCGGAUUUACUGGGCGUAAAGGGCGCGUAGGCGGCGUGACAAGUCAAUUGUGAAAUCUCCGGGCUUAACUCGGAACGGUCAAUUGAUACUGUUGUGCUAGAGUACAGAAGGGGCAAUCGGAAUUCUUGGUGUAGCGGUGAAAUGCGUAGAUAUCAAGAGGAACACCUGAGGUGAAGACGGGUUGCUGGGCUGAUACUGACGCUGAGGCGCGAAAGCUAGGGUAGCAAACGGG